rnacentral:lncRNA from 12 species
GUAACAUAUUUAUUUGUAACAUAUUUAUUCAUAUCACUCUACACCCUCUGGAACACUAUCAUAUAUCUCCAGAUUUAUAUGCAUCCUAAUUGAAAUGUGCAAUCUUAUAAGAGCCAACUAUAUGAAUUAUAAGUUAUAAGAUGAACUCAUGCUAAUGCUGAUAAUAGUGGAUGCAUCUACAAUCAUAACAUUUAAUACAUUUUUACAACAGUAAGUCUGCUAUUUGUCAUUUAUGCUAAACCUCUGUAGAGCCUCAACAACUUAGCAUUUGGUUAUUAUUUGCCUCUCAUUUGUUAUAACUUCUCACUUAUGUCACUUUCAGAGUCUACUAUGAGCUACAUGUAAGUAGUAUCUUCUGAGUAAGUAUUCUUCCCUAAUAUUAGAGUCUGAGAACCUUCAGGAAAGGGCCAUAUCUCAUUUUGAUUCCUAUAUUCAAAGUUUAGCAUGUUGGCUGGCAAUUGGUUCCUGGUUCUUGGAAUGGAAUGGAAUGGAAUGGAAUGGAAUGGAAUGGAAUGGAAUGGAAUGGAAUGGAGUGGAAUGGAGUGGAAUGGAAUAGAAUGCCCUGGUCUUGGUUGUUUGGUUGUUGUACAUCAACCAAGUUACUGAUGAAACUGUAUUCCCAGGACAUGAUCUGUGAAAUGCAAAAUGGAACUGGUAAGUUUUCAGCAAAGGAAAGCUACAGCAAUCACAAGGAUUCAGAGUAGAAGUAGAGCUAGAGAAGACAGCCAGCAAUGCAGGAAGGAACUCAAGAUUUACAGACUGUUGAAUAUCAUCAUUUCAGCAAUACAAUAGUAGCACAUGUCUUCCUGAAGGAGCUUGUAAGUUGAAUCAAUUCUGAUAUGCAUAUUAAGUUAAGAAGCAUGCAAAGCAGAUGGUAAAAUGCAAAUGGAUUAAGAGCUCCAAGGUUAUACAGAUUUGAAUCUAUUUUAAAAAGUGAUAGUCUUUUUUAGUCUCAUCAGUGACUUUGAAAACAAUAGGCUCAACCACGAUGGGAAAUAUGAAAUAUUUUCUAACUUGCAGUUGCCCUUUGUAAAAAAUGUUUUAUUUCAAUAUCUAAUUUAUUAUUGCUCAUUUAUGUAAUACCCUGCAGCAUUAUUUCUCUACAACUUUUACCUUCCCAUUGAGUGUUUGAAUUUCUCUAUCAUUUAUUUUCACUCAAAGGCAUUAACCUGCUUUCCUAAGUCAUAUUUCAUUUUGUUACUUUUCCAGAUAACUAAAAUUUUUAUAUAUUAUUUCCAGUUAAUCCCACAUGGCACACAAAAUGAAGAGCCAAUGUAGAGAAUAAUUAUUCAGUAUUUCAAAAUGCAGAACUGCUGGGGUAAAUUAGGUAAUGGGAAAUGAUGCCAUCAGGUCUCACAGUGUUGACAAUGGAAGAGUGGCAGUCAUACUCAGAAAAAACUUAUACUUUUCUACAUGAGAAAGAAAAGGGAAACACGAAUAUCCAAUCUCAAAUUAUGCUUCAAUUUCUACUUUGAUGUUCUCUUCUAAAAUAAGCAUUGCCAAACCCCCUGGUUCAGUGAUCUUUCAAAACCAGCCUUAGAGAUUUCAGUCUAGAGCAACAUUCUGAGCAUAUUUUUUAGCAGCUAGACCAAUUAGGCUUUUUUCCUGACAGCAGCCAAUGUUGUGAGGCGUUUGUUAAAUUCUAUCACAUCUUGUGUUUAUGAAAAUGAACUGUGUCCUUGGGAAAUUCAAAAGGUAAUGAAGCAUGGGCCUAAGGAGAGCACCAGAGGGAGGCAGAGCACAAUGUGUC